AGCGUCUGUCUGACAGCCCCCGCAUGUCGGGAAGCUCGUUUAAAUGUCGUCUGUGUAAUCGAGGAGAUCCAGACCAACUUCAGUUCAUGAUCUCCUGCUGUUCUCUGUGCUUCACUAACUGAGCGUUUCGGGUCGAUCACAGUGACUUUAAAGAUGAAGAUUGCUUUGCUGGUUUUGGUGCUUCUGGCGUUUGGACACUCACUGCCUAUGCAGCGGAGGAGAGUAACGAGAUCAGAGAGUUCAGAAGACGAUGGGGUAUGAAACACACACCCCCCACACACACACACACACACACACACUCAAUUAUAUACACUCACACACACACACUUUUUGUGAAAAGUGGGGACAUCCCAUAGGCGUAAUGGUUUUUAUACUGUACAAACUGUAUAUUCUAUCGCCCUA
ensembl:lncRNA